AUUGAACGCUGGCGGCAGGCCUAACACAUGCAAGUCGAACGUGUUUCGUACUUGUUAGUAUUUUCUGGGUAUCUGCCUGAUGGAGCGGGUUAACUACUGGAAACUUUAGCUAAUACCGCAUCCCAUCAUCUGUUCCCCGAUGGGAUUCGCUAGUUGGUGGGGUAACGGCCAACCAAGGCGACCAUCCCUAGCUGGUCUGAGAGGAUGACCAGCCAAACUGGAAAUGAGACACGGUCCAGACUCCUACGGGAGGCAGCAGUGGGGAAUAUUGCACAAUGGGCGCAAGCCUGAUGCAGCCAUGCGGCGUGUAUGAAGAAGGCCUUCGGGUUGUAAAGUACUUUCAGCGGGGAGGCGUUACGAGAAGAAGAAGCAAGGGCUAACUCCGUGCCAGCAGCCGCGGUAAUAG
rnacentral:rRNA from 1 species